ensembl:lncRNA
CGUCGGGGUCGAGGCCCCGAGGUGCUCCGUCGCUGCGCAGGUGGGAGCGCAAAGGAAAGCACCGAGACGUGCGAGUGGCCAGGCGCGCUCCUCUCCGCGCGGUCGGAGCCGGGGGCUGAAGACCACUCGGCAGAGAGCCCCGCGGCAUCGGGGGCACCGUACUCUUUUGUUUGUUUGUCGUCGUUGUUGUGUAUUUCCUAAAGAACAAAACACAGACCCGAAGCGUACCCCGGGGAUUAACGUGUGAGCAAAACUGCCUGCGUUUAUCGACAGCGUAUCUUAACUGAUGCCACCUCGUAGCGCUGUAAAUAAAAAGUCUGCAUAAUACCGUGAAGAUUCCAUCUUUUAGAGUACUCGGAAUCUGAUGUGUUUGAGUUCUGUCCCAAAAAACCUCUCGGAGAAUCAGACAGCUUGUGAAUGCAGCAGCUUGGAAUUCAGGUCUUCCUGCGCAGGUCUUCCCCUGCUCCUUUCCAGAGCUUUAAGGACACUGACCCUGCCUCCAAACCCAGGAGAUCUGCCUCUUAAACGCUACUGGCACAGCCGGCACGGGGAGCAGGAGGGGUUCGCAUUGACAGGAUUCCAGGCAAAAGCCGGAGUUAAAGAGCACAGCGGCCCCUUCCUCCUUGGUUCUCAUCUAUUUAAAACUGCUCUAAAAUAGAUCUUUUAAAUAGAUGAGAGACGGGAGCUUUCUGUAGCUGCAGAGUAAGGGAGCCACAUCGACAACAAAGGCUCCCGCCUCUGUGCCUCAGUGCCCUGAGCUCAAACCGCUGCUCGAGGAGAAAAUGGCACCGGGGGCUCAAAAAUCCCCACGGGGCUACACUGGAGCCUGAGCUCCAGAGGUUCGGAAGGAAACUGAAGAAGAAGUAGAUCCACCUUGAAAAUAACUCAGAAAUGAGCUGCUGAGACCGCUGGCUCCUCCCUCGGCGAAUGUGUACGUCUGCGGUGUUGUCUUUAACACCCCGAUCAGCUGAACUGCUCACUCUUCCAACGGAUGAUUACUGUCAAUCCUAAGCACGCCAAAUAUUUUUACAGUGUUUGGGGAACCAAAAAAAAAAAAUACCUUGAAACCAGAGAAGUGGUGAGAAGACUGAGUGAGCGGCGUGACACUGAUGUGGUGCUCGGGAUUGCUGCUCUGCACAAGGCCGCUGUCCUUCAGAAGUUUUCCGGCAUGAGAUCACGACUACUUGUGUGGCUGGGUUUGUUGUACAGAGGGCAAAAGCUGCAUCAUUCCACAGCAGGAGCCGAGUGCUUUUAAGAAAUGUUGGCUUUAAGUCACGUCACGCAGAGGGCAAGGGCGGUGUAUCACCGGCUACUGUGCAGCAAAUGGUGAGGGACCGCAAGAGAAACAGAUCCACGAAGGUGGAUGCCUUGCAAACAGUGAUCCGGGUUCAGAAACGCUACUGAAAAAAUUGCAAGCAACACAUGAGGAUUACCUUCUGCUCUGUUCAGGAGAAACUGGGGAGUUUUGCUUAAUUUAUGCAUAUUUUAGGCUGCUGUAAAGAGCUCUGAUCAGCAGCUUUGGAUACUGUAAGGGUAAUACAGUGACCCUCAACUUAGCCACAGAGGCUGCUCAGGAGAGGCUAUCUCUAGGUGUGAGCUGAGGAAGCACCUGCCAACAGGCUGCUUUGGUCAGGAAAAUCCUCCGGCACAUUGAAUAUACCUACCUGAUCGGAAUGCUCAGAAGGCUUCACAGCAGACAACGAAGAAAAAAAAUGCUUUGGUUAUCACAGAAGAACUUUGUGGAGGGUGAGAGGAAAGGAAGAAAUUGCCUACGAACAGACACUGGAGAGUGUUUUCUUCAGAGGACUACAGCUCCCAGAUGCUUCUGCUCCUUUCUGCUGCUCUAAGUUCUGCAGUUACUCAUCACUUGACUCUAAGCUGUUCCAGUCUGUUAUUCUGUAUCACAAUACAUGUUGAAUUGGUGGCAUCACAUUCCAUUCCAGCAAAAGUGACUGAAAACCCUUCCUGUCUCAUAGGCAGUGGGUGUUCUACUUUUCUUUCAAGUCCCCCUUUCUUCUCCCCUUCUCCCUCUGCCUCUCUUCACUCCACCAUGCAGUCACCACUUCUGCCAUCCCUGAGCAGCCAUGCAAGACAAGCACAAACUGUCUGGAGGGCUGAAAAUGGAAGACGCAGCAGAUGGAAACACCAAAAUCAUCCUUUUCUGUAGGCUCUCUGAAAGCAGAGAUGCAAGAGAAUUUUGUACACUGCUUUUUUGGUUUUCUUUUCCUUUUUUUUUUUCUUUUUGUGACUUGACACAGAUAUACCUGCUCGAUCUGGAUGCUCAGAAGGCUCCACAGCAGACAAUGAAGAAAACAUGUAGCUGUAGAUGUCCCUGUUUAUUGCAGGGCAGUUGGACUAGAUAACCUUUAAAGGUCCCUUCCAACGUAAACAAUUCUACGAUUGUAUGACUUCUGAGAUUUCUAACUGAUUUUAAAACUUUAAGUGAUCUUUAUGCUGUUAGUAAAUUCUUUUAAAAUUAUAAGGAAGUAGUGCUACAUAAAGUGAAACUGUCAAAGACUUCACACAUUGAUUUGGCAAGCUAGGAUUGUCAGCAGUACUCACCUGUAUGUCACAACCAGGGACACCUGUUAGAAAGAGAGGUGCCACCGCUGUGUUAACACACACGUAGAUGACUGUAUCACCAAGGAGGCUGUGCAGCCUGAGACCUGCCACAGUCAUGCUGGGCUUAAGUGGGAAUUUGUUGAAAAGAAGAUAAUGGGUGGUUCUGGGCACCACUGAGGCAUAUGCAGGGCAGUAAAGUAGACAAUGGCAAUCUUAGAGACCCAGAGAUGCAACAGACCAUCCAUCUCUGGUCAUUUCUGUCACAUGAAAAAGCAAACUUAAGUAAUCUCUGAAUUUUCUGAGCAUGGACAGCAUCUCAGAAAAAAUCACAAAUGCUGAACAAUUCUGAAGUAUGUUUUAACUCUGUUGGAUUUCUGAUCAAGAAUUGAAGUACAAAGAUACAUUGCUAGUAAGUAAAAUGCUUGCUGUUAUAUCUCUGCGUCUAUUUCGUACAUUAGAACUUGGAUUUUCCUCAAGCAUGUCUUAAAACUAGAAGGAAGGAUCCAUUUUUACUGUAAUCAAUUACUCACCUGAUUUACAUUCCAUGUUGGUUAGAAUUCAAGGAGUGAUGGAGCCCUAUGUCCCCAGCUGGCUCAUGCUUACUAUAGACAAGUGAUCACAUUUGGUCCUUGUCAGGCUUAAGAAUUCAGUUAUCCAAAAUUCAGUCAUGACAAUUCAUUUCAAACAGCAGUUAUAGCUACACUUUAAUCAGAACUGGCAAUGGAAGCAACAUAUUUUCUGACUGUACAAUUACUGAUCACUUUAGGCCUAUGUAAAGCAGGAAAAUAAAUUAAUUACAAAUUUGCUUCAGAAUACUACACCAAAGAUUUAAUAUAAACUGAUUUUUCCCAUUUGCCGGAUGUUAACAGGAUCGCUGGUGAAUUUGCACAGGUGAUUAAGCUCUUUGAGGGUAAAUCUUAUAAGAAAAAUAUUUUAAAAUAUGAUUUAUUAUUUUUAACUACUUCAAUUGAAAGCAAUAAAAUUCUCUGCUCGGUGUUUAA